UACCAUGCAAGUCGACGGUAACAGGAAGCAGCUUGCUGCUUCGCUGACGAGUGGCGGACGGGUGAGUAAUGUCUGGGAAACUGCCUGAUGGAGGGGGAUAACUACUGGAAACGGUAGCUAAUACCGCAUAACGUCGCAAGACCAAAGAGGGGGACCUUCGGGCCUCUUGCCAUCGGAUGUGCCCAGAUGGGAUUAGCUUGUUGGUGGGGUAACGGCUCACCUAGGCGACGAUCCCUAGCUGGUCUGAGAGGAUGACCAGCCACACUGGAACUGAGACACGGUCCAGACUCCUACGGGAGGCAGCAGUGGGGAAUAUUGCACAAUGGGCGCAAGCCUGAUGCAGCCAUGCCGCGUGUAUGAGAAGGCCUUCGGUUGUAAAGUACUUUCAGCGGGGAGGAAG
rnacentral:rRNA from 1 species